CUACGGGAGGCUGCAGUGGAGAAUAUUGCACAAUGGGCGCAAGCCUGAUGCAGCCAUGCCGCGUGUGUGAAGAAGGCCUUCGGGUUGUAAAGCACUUUCAGCGGGGAGGAAGGCGUUAAGGUUAAUAACCUUGGCGAUUGACGUUACCCGCAGAAGAAGCACCGGCUAACUCCGUGCCAGCAGCCGCGGUAAUACGGAGGGUGCAAGCGUUAAUCGGAAUUACUGGGCGUAAAGCGCACGCAGGCGGUCUGUCAAGUCGGAUGUGAAAUCCCCGGGCUCAACCUGGGAACUGCAUUCGAAACUGGCAGGCUAGAGUCUUGUAGAGGGGGGUAGAAUUCCAGGUGUAGCGGUGAAAUGCGUAGAGAUCUGGAGGAAUACCGGUGGCGAAGGCGGCCCCCUGGACAAAGACUGACGCUCAGGUGCGAAAGCGUGGGGAGCAAACAGGAUUAGAUACCCCAGUAGUC
rnacentral:rRNA from 1 species